GCAAUUAUUGAAGCAUUUGGGCGGUUGACCAUCCCCUUUCUGAAGGGAGGUGGUUAUCAUGACGACAUAUGAAGCAUUUAGUCUAGUUACUCAGAUUACCUUCACUUUAAUAACAACUUUGACACUGAUUGUAACGCUUGUCGUCUGGAUAAACAAAAAGUAACCGCCCAAACUGACAAGGUUUAACGGUUACUUCAUGAAAAUACAAUAAUACCUAGUCAACCGCUCUUAUGCGGUUAAUAAUUGCUACUACCGGGUGGUUCGAGCCACUCGG
rnacentral:sRNA from 1 species